AGCCUUCAGCCCAACAAGUAUUGAAGGUGAUGCCUGCCCAGUGACAUUAUGUUCAACGGCCGCGGUAUCCUAACCGUGCGAAGGUAGCGCAAUCAAUUGUCUCAUAAAUCGAGACUUGUAUGAAUGGCUAAACGAGGUCUUAACUGUCUCUUACAGGCAAUCAGUGAAAUUGAUCUUCCUGUGCAAAAGCAGGAAUAAAUACAUAAGACGAGAAGACCCUGUGGAACUUAAAAAUCAGCGACCACUACAUAUCACACCAUAAACCUAUUAGGCUCACAUCCCAAAAGAACUGGCCCGCAUUUUUCGGUUGGGGCGACCUUGGAGAAAAACAAACCCUCCAAAAUCAAGACCAUACUUCUUAAUCAAGAGCAACCCCUCAACGUACUAAUAGUAAUUCAGACCCAGUAUAACUGACCAAUGAACCAAGCUACCCCAGGGAUAACAGCGCAAUCUCCCUCAAGAGCCCAUAUCGACAGGGAGGUUUACGACCUCGAUGUUGGAUCAGGACAUCCUAAUGGUGCAGCCGCUAUUAAGGGUUCGUUUGUUCAACGAUUAACAGUCCU
rnacentral:rRNA from 1 species